UUUCAUCUAGAACUUAAAACCACAAAUUGUGAGGAAACCUCCAUUGUACACUUAAAUGCUGGAUUCUAAUAAGUUUUGUUGAUUCAUUUGAUUCAUGCUUUGUCUUUUAUUAUUGUGAAAAUGUGGAAGCAAUUAGAAAUGAUCAAGGCACUUGUUUUCUAUCGAGCACAACUACAUCCAAAAACAACUUACCUGUGAGCAGAGAGAGUAUUCGUUAACCCCUUUGAGCUUAAACAGUUGAAUCUCAGCUUGAAAUAAAGCGAGAUUUCAAAAAUCUUUUUUUUAC
rnacentral:lncRNA from 1 species